AACAUCGUUCACUCAGGAUCGUCCAGUGUCAUUUUGUUCCUAAUGUUUCUAUGUUUUUUUCAGUUUUAAUAUUGUUUCUUCUAUCCUAGUUUUUUGGACCAUGUUUGCUUUUGAACCUUGUUUUCUACAAGACCUUUUGUUUUACUACCUGAACUUUGCUUCCACCUGCACACCUCAUCACACCUGACAGACAUGGACCAAACUAAGGACAGGAACUGAUGCUCACUGUGUCCUGAUUGGCUUCCUGAGGUGAAGAACUUCUGAACGCCCUGAAAGUCAGGGGCGAAGGACUUCUGGGUGACGGCGACCGGUCUCUUCUGAGUCUCGUCCCCUGCUAAAAUAACCAUGUGAGGACACAGCUGGAAAAUGUCUGUCAGCAAGCGAGUGGACAUGUUGAUGACGUUUCAAAUAUAUGACAGAUGCAAAACUGGAUGAAAACAAAUAUCUGAGAAAAAACAACGAGAUUCCGGAGCUUCUGAUGAUGAGGACCAACACCAACAAUUUAUAUGUCACGUCCUGCCUCCUGCUUGCCCCCCCCAGUAAUGUUCCUGUUGAUGUGAGCAUGUCUGAAAACUUCACGGGGACAGAUCUAGUUCAAAUUGCCUUCUAAGAACAUUUUUGACAUUUUUCCAAAAGGUCUAUUUAGACAGCUUUAUUUUAAUUAGUCUUUAAUAUAUGU